AAACGUGGAAGUUGAUGUAUACGGACUGACGCCUGCCCGGUGCUGGAAGGUUAAGAGGACCUGUUAGAUCUCUUUGGGGGUCGAAGCGGAGAAUUUAAGCCCCAGUAAACGGCGGUGGUAACUAUAACCAUCCUAAGGUAGCGAAAUUCCUUGUCGGGUAAGUUCCGACCUGCACGAAUGGCGUAACGACUUCCCUGCUGUCUCAACCACAGGCCCGGUGAAAUUGCAGUACGAGUAAAGAUGCUCGUUACGCGCGGCAGGACGAAAAGACCCCGGGACCUUCACUAUAGCUUGGUAUUGGUGUUUGGUUCGGUUUGUGUAGGAUAGGUGGGAGACUGUGAUACUGCGCCGCUAGGUGUGGUGGAGUCGCAAGUUGAAAUACCACUCUGAUCGGAUUGAGCACCUUAACCUUGGCCCAUGAUCUGGGUUGGGGACAGUGCCUGGUGGGUAGUUUAACUGGGGCGGUUGCCUCCUAAAAUGUAACGGAGGCGCCCAAAGGUUCCCUCAGCCUGGUUGGCAAUCAGGUGGUGAGUGUAAGUGCACAAGGGAGCUUGACUGUGAGACUGACAGGUCGAGCAGGGACGAAAGUCGGGACUAGUGAUCCGGCACCUACUUGUGGAAGUGGUGUCGCUCAACGGAUAAAAGGUACCCCGGGGAUAACAGGCUGAUCUUCCCCAAGAGUCCAUAUCGACGGGAUGGUUUGGCACCUCGAUGUCGGCUCGUCGCAUCCUGGGGCUGGAGUAGGUCCCAAGGGUUGGGCUGUUCGCCCAUUAAAGCGGCACGCGAGCUGGGUUUAGAACGUCGUGAGACAGUUCGGUCUCUAUCCGCCGUGCGCGUUGAAACUUGAAGAAGGCUGUCCCUAGUACGAGAGGACCGGGACGGACGUACCUCUAGUGUGCCAGUUGUCACGCCAGUGGCAGGGCUGGUUGGCUACGUACGGAAGGGAUAACCGCUGAAAGCAUCUAAGCGGGAAGCCUGUUUUAAGAUGAGGUUUCUUUUGAGGUUCCCUCGAGACGAGGGGGUUGAUAGGCCAGAUCUGGAAGAGUGGUAACACUUGGAGGUGACUGGUACUAAUUUACCGAUAAACAAC
rnacentral:rRNA from 1 species